UACGAAGGGGGCUAGCGUUGCUCGGAAUCACUGGGCGUAAAGGGUGCGUAGGCGGAUUUUUAAGUCAGGGGUGAAAGCCUGAGGCUCAACCUCAGAAUUGCCUUUGAUACUGGAAGUCUUGAGACCGGAAGAGGUAAGUGGAACUGCGAGUGUAGAGGUGAAAUUCGUAGAUAUUCGCAAGAACACCAGUGGCGAAGGCGGCUUACUGGUCCGGUUCUGACGCUGAGGCACGAAAGCGUGGGGAGCAAACAGG
rnacentral:rRNA from 1 species